rnacentral:rRNA from 1 species
GAGUUUGAUCAUGGCUCAGAUUGAACGCUGGCGGUAGGCUUAACACAUGCAAGUCGUGCGAGACCUUCUCUUCGGAUAUGAGUCGAGCGACUGACGGGUGAGUAUCUCCUCUGAUUCUACCUAUUACAACGGGAUACCCCGAGGAAACUCUUAUUAAUCCCUCAUACCUCCUUCUUGAGAAAGAAGGCCUCUCUUUGAAGCUUUCACUACUAUAUGAGCCUGCUGAACAUUAGCUUGUUGGAGAGGUAAAUGCUCUCCAAGGCUACUAUCUUUCGCUGGUCUGAAAAGACGAUCACCCACUUUGCGACUGACACACGGCCCGAACUCCUACCGGAGGCGGCAGUGCUGAAUAUUGCAUGCUGCGCGCGUGCCUGAUCCCCCCAUACCGCGUGUGUCAUUAAGGCCUUCGGAUUGUGACGCACUUUGAGCAGGAAGACACAGUUAUACUCUUAGUACCUUAUCACCCUGAUGUUACCUGCAGAAUACGCUCCUGCUAAUUCCGUGCCAUCAGCCGCCGUAAUACGGAUUGUGCAAGCGUUAAUCAGAUUUACUGGGCGUACCCCGCGACUACGUGGAUUGUUAAAUUGGAUGUGAACAGCCCUGGGCUCUACCUAUGAACUGCAUCCAAAACUAACUCACUAUAGUACGAUAGAGGGAGGUAGAAUUCAUAGUGUAGCGGUGGAUUGCGUAGAUAUUAUGAGAAUACCAGUGGUGAGGGCGGCCUCCUGGAUGUGUGCUGACACUGAGGUGCGAUAGCGUCGGUAGCGAACAGGAUUAGAUACCCUGAUAGUCCACGCCGUAAAUGAUGACACACUAGCUGUUGGGAGACUAUGUCUUUCAGUGGAGCAGCUAACGCUUUAAGUUGUCCGCCUGGAGAGUACGGCCGCAAGGCUGAAACUCAAAUGAAUUGACGGGGACCCGCACAAGCGGUGGAGCAUGUGGUUUAAUUCGAUGCAACGCGAAAAACCUUACCUACUCUUGACAUACUUGGAGGCUCUUGUAAUGAGAGUGUGCCUUUGGGAAGCAAGAUACAGGUGCGGCAUGGCUGUCGUCAGCUCGUGUCGUGAGAUGUUCCGUUAAGUCGGAUAACGAGCGCAACCCUUACCCUUAUUUGCCAGCGAUUCGGUCGGGAACUAUAAGGGGACGGCGGGUGAUAAACCGGAGGAAGGUGAGGUAGACGUCAAGUCAUCAUGGCCGUUGUGAGUAGGUCUACACCCGUGCUGCAAUGGGAGAUCCAGACGGACGAUAACCCGCGAGGUGGUGUUAUUCCUAAAAAGUCUUUCGUAGUCGGGAGGGGUGUGUACAUCUAGACUCCAAGAAGUGGGAAUCGCUAGUAAUCGCGGAUCAGCAUGCCGCGGAGAAUGUUGUUCUGGCGUUGUUGCACACACCGCCCGUCACCCCAGUGAGAAGUGGAUUGCCCCAGAAGUAGAUAGUCUACCCUUAGGGAGGGCGUUUACCACGGUGUGCUUCAUGACUGGGGUGAAGUCGUAACAAGGUAACC